GACAAAAUGUCAAUGUCUUAGCGGAAGCGCAAUCGGCAUUCAAACUUUUCUCCUUCCGAGAUAAGUUUGAUAGCCGACGAGGUGAAGGCGCGACAGAGUGUGUUGUUCGGCCCGUUUUCCUCAACAGUAACCAACACGGCCAAAAUACGGGAAUGGGAUGAAAUCGCAACCAAACUAAACGCCUGUUCCUCCGUCCAGAGAUCUGGAGUCCAGAUACGGAAGAAAUGGAACGAUUACAAAUCCCAGGUGAAGAAGAAAGCCAUUGAUGUGCGGCGUGAGAGCUGCAAGACAGGCGGGGGUCCAGCACCAGUUGGUCUGUCUGACC